rnacentral:rRNA from 1 species
CCUACGGGAGGCAGCAGUGAGGAAUAUUGGUCAAUGGACGAGAGUCUGAACCAGCCAAGUAGCGUGAAGGAUGACUGCCCUAUGGGUUGUAAACUUCUUUUGUCUGGGAGUAAAAUGUUCCACGUGUGGGGUUUUGUGUGUACCCGAUGAAUAAGGAUCGGCUAACUCCGUGCCAGCAGCCGCGGUAAUACGGAGGAUGCGAGCGUUAUCCGGAUUUAUUGGGUUUAAAGGGAGCGUAGGUGGAUUGUUAAGUCAGUUGUGAAAGUUUGGGGCUCAACCGUAAAAUUGCAGUUGAAACUGGCAGUCUUGAGUAAAGGAGAGGUGGGCGGAAUGCGUGGUGUAGCGGUGAAAUGCUUAGAUAUCACGAAGAACUCCGAUUGCGAAGGCAGCUUACUGGCCUGCAACUGACACUGAGGCUCGAAAGUGUGGGUAUCAAACAGGAUUAGAUACCCUUGUAGUC